rnacentral:rRNA from 1 species
UACGUAGGGUGCGAGCGUUAAUCGGAAUUACUGGGCGUAAAGUGUGCGCAGGCGGCCGCGCAAGUCGAGUGUGAAAUCCCCGAGCUUAACUUGGGAAUUGCGCUCGAAACUACGUGGCUGGAGUGUGGCAGAGGAAGGUGGAAUUCCACGUGUAGCGGUGAAAUGCGUAGAGAUCGGGAGGAACACCAGUGGCGAAGGCGGCUACCUGGACCAGCACUGACACUGAGGCACGAAAGCGUGGGGAGCAAACAGG